AUCAUUGGGCGUAAAGCGCCUGUAGGUUGUUUAAUAAGUCUGUUGUUAAAGACUGGGGCUUAACCCCAGGAAAGCAAUGGAAACUACUAGACUAGAGUAUGGUAGGGGUAAAGGGAAUUUCUAGUGUAGCGGUGAAAUGCGUAGAUAUUAGAAAGAACACCGGUGGCGAAAGCGCUUUACUGGACCAUUACUGACACUCAGAGGCGAAAGCUAGGGUAGCCAAAGGGAUUAGAUACCCCUGUAGUCCUAGCCGUAAACGAUGGAUACUAGAUGUUGCGCUUAUUGUGCAGUGUCGUAGCUAACGCGUUAAGUAUCCCGCCUGGGGAGUACGAUCGCAAGGUUGAAACUCAAAGGAAUUGACGGGGGCCCGCACAAGCGGUGGAGCAUGUGGUUUAAUUCGAUGCAACGCGAAGAACCUUACCAGGGCUUGACAUACUGCAAAUUUUCUUGAAAGAGAAAAGUGCCUUCGGGAAUGCAGAUACAGGUGGUGCAUGGCUGUCGUCAGCUCGUGUCGUGAGAUGUUGGGUUAAGUCCCGCAACGAGCGCAACCCUCGUUUUUAGUUGCCAUUUUAUGGGUUCUCUAGAAAGACUGCCGGUGACAAACCGGAGGAAGGUGGGGAUGACGUCAAGUCAGCAUGCCCCUUAUGCCCUGGGCUACACACGUGCUACAAUGGCUAAGACAAAGAGUCGCGAAUUCGCGAGAAUCAGCUAAUCUCAUAAACUUAGUCUAAGUUCAGAUUGUAGGCUGCAACUC
rnacentral:rRNA from 1 species